rnacentral:rRNA from 1 species
GGUGCUAAUACCGCAUAACCAUAGUUACCGCAUGGUAACUAUGUAAAAGGUGGCUAUGCUACCGCUUUUGGAUGGGCCCGCGACGCAUUAGCUAGUUGGUGGGGUAAAGGCUUACCAAGGCAAUGAUGCGUAGCCGAACUGAGAGGUUGAUCGGCCACAUUGGGACUGAGACACGGCCCAAACUCCUACGGGAGGCAGCAGUAGGGAAUCUUCCACAAUGGGCGAAAGCCUGAUGGAGCAACGCCGCGUGGGUGAAGAAGGUCUUCGAAUCGUAAGACCCUGUUGUUAGAGAAGAAAGUGCGUGAGAGUAACUGUUCACGUUUCGACGGUAUCUAACCAGAAAGCCACGGCUAACUACGUGCCAGCAGCCGCGGUAAUACGUAGGUGGCAAGCGUUAUCCGGAUUUAUUGGGCGUAAAGAGAACGCAGGCGGUCUUUUAAGUCUGAUGUGAAAGCCUUCGGCUUAACCGGAGUAGUGCAUUGGAAACUGGGAGACUUGAGUGCAGAAGAGGAGAGUGGAACUCCAUGUGUAGCGGUGAAAUGCGUAGAUAUAUGGAAGAACACCAGUGGCGAAAGCGGCUCUCUGGUCUGUAACUGACGCUGAGGUUCGAAAGCGUGGGUAGCAAACAGGAUUAGAUACCCUGGUAGUCCACGCCGUAAACGA